rnacentral:rRNA from 1 species
AAUCAACGCUGGCGGCGUGCCUAACACAUGCAAGUCGCACGAGAAAGUGGAGCAAUCCAUGAGUACAGUGGCGCACGGGUGAGUAACACGUGAAUGAUCUACCUCCGAGUGGGGAAUAACCUAGAGAAAUCUGGGCUAAUACCGCAUAACACUUACGAGUCAAAGCAGCAAUGCGCUUGGAGAGGAGUUCGCGGCCGAUUAGUUAGUUGGCAGGGUAAUGGCCUACCAAGACGAUGAUCGGUAUCCGGCCUGAGAGGGCGCACGGACACACUGGAACUGAAACACGGUCCAGACUCCUACGGGAGGCAGCAGUGGGGAAUUUUGCGCAAUGGGGGAAACCCUGACGCAGCAACGCCGCGUGGAGGAUGAAAUCCCUUGGGAUGUAAACUCCUUUCGAUSRRGAA